rnacentral:rRNA from 1 species
ACUGAACGCUGGCGGCAUGCCUUACACAUGCAAGUCGAACGGCAGCACGGGUGCUUGCACCUGGUGGCGAGUGGCGAACGGGUGAGUAAUACAUCGGAACAUGUCCUGUAGUGGGGGAUAGCCCGGCGAAAGCCGGAUUAAUACCGCAUACGAUCUACGGAUGAAAGCGGGGGACCUUCGGGCCUCGCGCUAUAGGGUUGGCCGAUGGCUGAUUAGCUAGUUGGUGGGGUAAAGGCCUACCAAGGCGACGAUCAGUAGCUGGUCUGAGAGGACGACCAGCCACACUGGGACUGAGACACGGCCCAGACUCCUACGGGAGGCAGCAGUGGGGAAUUUUGGACAAUGGGCGAAAGCCUGAUCCAGCAAUGCCGCGUGUGUGAAGAAGGCCUUCGGGUUGUAAAGCACUUUUGUCCGGAAAGAAAUCCUUGGCCCUAAUACGGUCGGGGGAUGACGGUACCGGAAGAAUAGGCACCGGCUAACUACGUG